rnacentral:rRNA from 1 species
AGCGACUAAGCGUACACGGUGGAUGCCCUGGCAGUCAGAGGCGAUGAAGGGCGUGCUAAUCUGCGAUAAGCGCCGGUAAGGUGAUAUGAACCGUUAUAACCGGCGAUACCCGAAUGGGGAAACCCAGUGUGACUCGUCACACUAUCAUUAACUGAAUCCAUAGGUUAAUGAGGCGAACCGGGGGAACUGAAACAUCUAAGUACCCCGAGGAAAAGAAAUCAACCGAGAUUCCCCCAGUAGCGGCGAGCGAACGGGGAGGAGCCCAGAGCCUGAAUCAGCAUGUGUGUUAGUGGAAGCGUCUGGAAAGGCGCGCGAUACAGGGUGACAGCCCCGUACACAAAAGCGCAUGUGCUGUGAGCUCGAUGAGUAGGGCGGGACACGUGGUAUCCUGUCUGAAUAUGGGGGGACCAUCCUCCAAGGCUAAAUACUCCUGACUGACCGAUAGUGAACCAGUACCGUGAGGGAAAGGCGAAAAGAACCCCGGCGAGGGGAGUGAAAAAGAACCUGAAACCGUGUACGUACAAGCAGUGGGAGCACCCUUUGGGUGUGACUGCGUACCUUUUGUAUAAUGGGUCAGCGACUUAUAUUCUGUAGCAAGGUUAACCGAAUAGGGGAGCCGGAGGGAAACCGAGUCUUAACCGGGCGUUAAGUUGCAGGGUAUAGACCCGAAACCCGGUGAUCUAGCCAUGGGCAGGUUGAAGGUUGGGUAACACUAACUGGAGGACCGAACCGACUAAUGUUGAAAAAUUAGCGGAUGACCUGUGGCUGGGGGUGAAAGGCCAAUCAAACCGGGAGAUAGCUGGUUCUCCCCGAAAGCUAUUUAGGUAGCGCCUCGUGAAUUCAUCUCCGGGGGUAGAGCACUGUUUCGGCUAGGGGGCCAUCCCGGCUUACCAACCCGAUGCAAACUGCGAAUACCGGAGAAUGUUAUCACGGGAGACACACGGCGGGUGCUAACGUCCGUCGUGAAGAGGGAAACAACCCAGACCGCCAGCUAAGGUCCCAAAGUCAUGGUUAAGUGGGAAACGAUGUGGGAAGGCCCAGACAGCCAGGAUGUUGGCUUAGAAGCAGCCAUCAUUUAAAGAAAGCGUAAUAGCUCACUGGUCGAGUCGGCCUGCGCGGAAGAUGUAACGGGGCUAAACCAUGCACCGAAGCUGCGGCAGCGACACUGUGUGUUGUUGGGUAGGGGAGCGUUCUGUAAGCCUGUGAAGGUGUGUCGUGAGGCAUGCUGGAGGUAUCAGAAGUGCGAAUGCUGACAUAAGUAACGAUAAAGCGGGUGAAAAGCCCGCUCGCCGGAAGACCAAGGGUUCCUGUCCAACGUUAAUCGGGGCAGGGUGAGUCGACCCCUAAGGCGAGGCCGAAAGGCGUAGUCGAUGGGAAACGGGUUAAUAUUCCCGUACUUGGUGUUACUGCGAAGGGGGGACGGAGAAGGCUAUGUUGGCCGGGCGACGGUUGUCCCGGUUUAAGCGUGUAGGUGUGUGUUCCAGGUAAAUCCGGUUCACUUUAACACUGAGGCGUGACGACGAGGCACUACGGUGCUGAAGCAACAAAUGCCCUGCUUCCAGGAAAAGCCUCUAAGCAUCAGGUAACAUCAAAUCGUACCCCAAACCGACACAGGUGGUCAGGUAGAGAAUACCAAGGCGCUUGAGAGAACUCGGGUGAAGGAACUAGGCAAAAUGGUGCCGUAACUUCGGGAGAAGGCACGCUGACACGUAGGUGAAGUGAUUUACUCAUGGAGCUGAAGUCAGUCGAAGAUACCAGCUGGCUGCAACUGUUUAUUAAAAACACAGCACUGUGCAAACACGAAAGUGGACGUAUACGGUGUGACGCCUGCCCGGUGCCGGAAGGUUAAUUGAUGGGGUCAGCGCAAGCGAAGCUCCUGAUCGAAGCCCCGGUAAACGGCGGCCGUAACUAUAACGGUCCUAAGGUAGCGAAAUUCCUUGUCGGGUAAGUUCCGACCUGCACGAAUGGCGUAAUGAUGGCCAGGCUGUCUCCACCCGAGACUCAGUGAAAUUGAACUCGCUGUGAAGAUGCAGUGUACCCGCGGCAAGACGGAAAGACCCCGUGAACCUUUACUAUAGCUUGACACUGAACAUUGAGCCUUGAUGUGUAGGAUAGGUGGGAGGCUUUGAAGUGUGGACGCCAGUCUGCAUGGAGCCGACCUUGAAAUACCACCCUUUAAUGUUUGAUGUUCUAACGUGGACCCGUUACCCGGGUUGCGGACAGUGUCUGGUGGGUAGUUUGACUGGGGCGGUCUCCUCCUAAAGAGUAACGGAGGAGCACGAAGGUUGGCUAAUCCUGGUCGGACAUCAGGAGGUUAGUGCAAUGGCAUAAGCCAGCUUGACUGCGAGCGUGACGGCGCGAGCAGGUGCGAAAGCAGGUCAUAGUGAUCCGGUGGUUCUGAAUGGAAGGGCCAUCGCUCAACGGAUAAAAGGUACUCCGGGGAUAACAGGCUGAUACCGCCCAAGAGUUCAUAUCGACGGCGGUGUUUGGCACCUCGAUGUCGGCUCAUCACAUCCUGGGGCUGAAGUAGGUCCCAAGGGUAUGGCUGUUCGCCAUUUAAAGUGGUACGCGAGCUGGGUUUAGAACGUCGUGAGACAGUUCGGUCCCUAUCUGCCGUGGGCGCUGGAGAACUGAGGGGGGCUGCUCCUAGUACGAGAGGACCGGAGUGGACGCAUCACUGGUGUUCGGGUUGUCAUGCCAAUGGCACUGCCCGGUAGCUAAAUGCGGAAGAGAUAAGUGCUGAAAGCAUCUAAGCACGAAACUUGCCCCGAGAUGAGUUCUCCCUGAGACUUAAAGUCUCCUGAAGGAACGUUGAAGACGACGACGUUGAUAGGCCGGGUGUGUA